rnacentral:rRNA from 1 species
AUACGGAGGAUGCAAGCGUUAUCCGGAUUUAUUGGGUUUAAAGGGUGCGUAGGCGGAUGAUUAAGCGUGAGGUGAAAUGCCACUGCUCAACAGUGGAACUGCCUCGCGAACUGGUUGUCUUGAAUGCUCCUGCCGUGGGAGGAAUGUGUGGUGUAGCGGUGAAAUGCAUAGAGAUCACACAGAACACCGAUUGCGAAGGCAUCUCACGAAGGGGUGAUUGACGCUGAGGCACGAAAGCGUGGGGAUCAAACAGGAUUAGAUACCCUGGUAGUCCACGCAGUAAACGAUGAUAACUAACCGCUGGGUCGUAGUGAUUCAGUGGCCAAGCGAAAGGGAUAAGUUAUCCACCUGGGGAGUACGACCGCAAGGUUGAAACUCAAAUGAAUUGGCGGGG